GGUUGUAUAGUGUAGCGGUUAUCACUCCGGAUUCUGAUUCCGGCAACCCCGGUUCGAGUCCGGGUACGACCU
rfam:Podospora anserina genomic DNA, chromosome 5.